AUCGAUCUUAUUACAUGGACUUCCCCUAACCUCUAGCAGUAGAAAGCUGUCACUAAAUUAGGAUGGUCAGGCUAGUGAUAUGUGAUGCAAGACUCUUUCAUGAUGUUGGGCAGCUGAAGCAAGCCACAGCCCCCAGUCAGGCACAUGAUCACACAACCGAUAUUGCCAGCGUUUUCUGAAUCUUGUGUUCUGAGCGCAUAUAAGAAUAAAAAACACAGUUGACUGAAGUCCAACAAGCAUCCGGUUGAAGCUAAAUGUCUGCUUUGGUGGCCGUGCCUGGCGAGUUCCAUCUCGGCUUUAUUUACUUGAA